CCUACGGGUGGCAGCAGUGGGGAAUAUUGCACAAUGGGCGAAAGCCUGAUGCAGCAACGCCGCGUGAGCGAUGAAGGCCUUCGGGUCGUAAAGCUCUGUCCUCAAGGAAGAUAAUGACGGUACUUGAGGAGGAAGCCCCGGCUAACUACGUGCCAGCAGCCGCGGUACUACGUAGGGGGCUAGCGUUAUCCGGAAUUACUGGGGGAAAGGGGGUCGUAGUUGGUUUGUUAAGUCAGAGGUGAACGGCUAAGGCUAAACCGUAGUCAGCGUCUGAAACUGAGGAACGUGAGUGCAGGAGAGGAGAGUGGAAUUCGUAGUGUAGCGGUGAAAUGCGUAGAUAUUAGGAGGAACACCAGUUGCGAAGGCGGCUCACUGGACUGUAACUGACGCUGAGGCACGAAAGCGUGGGGAGCAAACAGGAUUAGAUACCCUUGUAGUC
rnacentral:rRNA from 1 species